UACGAAGGGUGCUAGCGUUGUUCGGAAUUACUGGGCGUAAAGCGCGCGUAGGCGGCGACUCAAGUCAGGGGUGAAAUCCUUGGGCUCAACCCAAGAAUUGCCUUUGAAACUGUGUUGCUAGAGUGUCGGAGGGGAUAGCGGAAUUGCUAAUGUAGAGGUGAAAUUCGUAGAUAUUAGCAGGAACACCGGUGGCGAAGGCGGCUAUCUGGACGACAACUGACGCUGAGGCGCGAAAGCGUGGGGAGCAAACAGG
rnacentral:rRNA from 1 species